rnacentral:lncRNA from 1 species
AAAUAAUCAAUCGAUCAAUCAAUCUUGGGGAAACAGAUGGAACAUAUGCAACAAAAACAGUACAAAAUCAAUCAAUCAAUCAAUUUUGGGGCUACAAAACACAGAUGGAAUCUGCAUGCUUCAUGGAGAUUCGAUCAAUUAGAUACAAUUACGUACUAUUUCUAAGAUUUCUCCGAUCAUGGGGGUGUCUUAUCAAUUCGAUCACCGCACCAGAAACCCAAGAAAGGUCGCAGANGUCGCUGGACGAUGCGUUGAGGAGGUGAACGCGAUCUGCUUCUUGGCCCUGCUUCGCCUUUCCGGCCUUCAUGGUGGCGUUGUUGCUAUCGCUCUCCCCCUAGGAACUUGGUAAGUGGAUUGUUAGGAGGGGCUGGCAUUAUAUAGUGGUUUGGAGAGGAACUUCUUCCGAUUGCGGAGCUGUGUUGGGAGCCUGGGAGACGAACUGAAACAGACUCGGUUUGGGGAUUAUACAAGAUUACCUCCGUGUUAAAUGAGAAGUCCCUUUCAUUCAAACGCUUAUUGGAUCCGCAUCCCAAAGCCCCACGGUGGAGAGAUAUGUGUGGAGAAGGGUUGGAUUCUGGUGCCUUUCGGGACGAAGUCAACAUGCAAGCAUAGGGGAUAAGUUUGUUCAUGGAGAAG